AUGGCUUAUGGUCCAAACAGUUUACUGCCAUGGGAUGGGACUGCGGCCUAUCAGCUUGUUGGUGAGGUAAUGGCCCACCAAGGCGAUUACAGGUACGGGCUCUGAGAGGAGAAGCCCGGAGAUGGGUACUGAGACACGGACCCAGGCCCUAUGGGGCGCAGCAGGCGAGAAACCUUAGCAAUGUGCGAAAGCACGACUGGGUCAGUCCGAGUGAUUCCUGAUAAAGGAGUCUUUUGCUUGUCCUAAAAGCACAGGUGAAUAAGGGGUGGGCAAGUCUGGUGUCAGCCGCCGCGGUAAUACCAGCACCUCGAGUGGUCAGGACGUUUAUUGGGCCUAAAGCAUCCGUAGCCGGCUCUGCAAGUCUUCGGUUAAAUCCACCUGCUCAACAGAUGGGCCGCUGGAGAUACUACAGAGCUAGGGAGUGGGAGAGGCAGACGGUAUUCAGUGGGCAGGGGUAAAAUCCUCUGAUCCAUUGAGGACCACCAGUGGCGAAGGCGGUCUGCCAGAACACGUUCGACGGUGAGGGAUGAAAGCUGGGGGAGCAAACCGGAUUAGAUACCCGGGUAGUCCCAGCUGUAAACGAUGCAAACUCGGUGAUGCAUUGGCUUAUGGCCAAUGCAGUGCCGCAGGGAAGCCGUUA
rnacentral:rRNA from 1 species